UUUCUGCUCGUGUAGCAUGCGUACUAAAAAUAAUUUCUCAUAAUUGUAUGGUGUUAUAUCAAAUAUAUAUCAAGCCAUUUGAGUAUUGGUAAAAUAUCAAGGUCUUGGAAGACUAGCAAAGCUGCAAAAUACAAGAAAAAAAAGAAAAAAUUUCCAAAAAUCAGCGAAGAAAGUGUUCACAUUAAAA
rnacentral:lncRNA from 1 species